AGUGGUUCUUGGGCGACAUACCCCAGAAUUGGGCUCCCUCCUCUCUUGUUCCAGGUGCGUCACCUGAGAAAUGCA
rfam:Myotis lucifugus cont2.47554, whole genome shotgun sequence.